GAUGAACGCGGGCGGCGUGCCUAAUACAUGCAAGUCGAGCGAACGGACGAGAAGCUUGCUUUUCUGAUGUUAGCGGCGGACGGGUGAGUAACACGUGGAUAACCUACCUAUAAGACUGGGAUAACUUCGGGAAACCGGAGCUAAUACCGGAUAAUAUUUUGAACCGCAUGGUUCAAAAGUGAAAGACGGUCUUGCUGUCACUUAUAGAUGGAUCCGCGCUGCAUUAGCUAGUUGGUAAGGUAACGGCUUACCAAGGCAACGAUGCAUAGCCGACCUGAGAGGGUGAUCGGCCACACUGGAACUGAGACACGGUCCAGACUCCUACGGGAGGCAGCAGUAGGGAAUCUUCCGCAAUGGGCGAAAGCCUGACGGAGCAACGCCGCGUGAGUGAUGAAGGUCUUCGGAUCGUAAAACUCUGUUAUUAGGGAAGAACAUAUGUGUAAGUAACUGUGCACAUCUUGACGGUACCUAAUCAGAAAGCCACGGCUAACUACGUG
rnacentral:rRNA from 1 species